rnacentral:rRNA from 1 species
CAGCCGCCGCGGUAAUACGUAGGGCGCAAGCGUUGUCCGGAAUUAUUGGGCGUAAAGAGCUCGUAGGCGGUCUGUCGCGUCUGGUGUGAAAUCCCGAGGCUCAACCUCGGGCUUGCAUCGGGUACGGGCAGACUAGAGUGCGGUAGGGGAGACUGGAAUUCCUGGUGUAGCGGUGGAAUGCGCAGAUAUCAGGAGGAACACCGAUGGCGAAGGCAGGUCUCUGGGCCGCAACUGACGCUGAGGAGCGAAAGCAUGGGGAGCGAACAGGAUUAGAUACCCCGGUAGUCCCUGUCUCUUAUAC